GAAUCCCGUCUUUGACAUGGACUACCAGUGCAUUGUGAUGCGCUCUCAAAGAGUCGAGUUGUUUGGGAAUGCAGCUCAAAAUGGGUGGUAAAUUCCAUCUAAAGCCAAAUAUUGGCGAGAGACCGAUAGCGAACAAGUACCGUGAGGGAAAGAUGAAAAGAACUUUGGAAAGAGAGUUAAACAGUACGUGAAAUUGCUGAAAGGGAAACGCUUGAAGUCAGUCGCGUCGGCUAGAAAUCAACCUUGCUUUUGCUUGGUGUACUUUCUUGUUGAUGGGUCAGCAUCAAUUUUGACCGUUGGAUAAAGUCGUUGGGAAUGUGGCAUCUUAGGAUGUGUUAUAGCCCAUCGUCGCAUACAGCGGUUGGGAUUGAGGAACUCAGCACGCCCUUCUGGGGACGGGUUUCGACCACGUUUCGUGCUUAGGAUGCUGGCAUAAUGGCUUUAAUCGACCCGUCUUGAAACACGGACCAAGGAGUCUAACAUGCCUGCGAGUGUUCGGGUGGAAAACCCAUGCGCGCAAUGAAAGUGAAAGUUGAGAUCCCCUCAAGGGGAGCAUCGACGCCCGGACCAGAGCUUCUGUGACGGAUCCGCGGUAGAGCAUGUAUGUUGGGACCCGAAAGAUGGUGAACUAUGCCUGAAUAGGGUGAAGCCAGAGGAAACUCUGGUGGAGGCUCGUAGCGAUUCUGACGUGCAAAUCGAUCGUCAAAUUUGGGUAUAGGGGCGAAAGACUAAUCGAACCAUCUAGUAGCUGGUUCCUGCC
rnacentral:rRNA from 1 species